UACAGAGGGUGCAAGCGUUGUUCGGAAUUAUUGGGCGUAAAGGGUGCGUAGGCGGUGCGGUAAGUCUGUAGUGAAAUCUCUGGGCUCAACUCAGAGUCUGCUAUAGAAACUGCCGUGCUUGAGUGUGGGAGAGGUGAGUGGAAUUCCCGGUGUAGCGGUGAAAUGCGCAGAUAUCGGGAAGAACACCUAUGGCGAAGGCAGCUCUCUGGGACGGUACUGACGCUGAGACGCGAAAGCGUGGGGAGCGAACAGG
rnacentral:rRNA from 1 species